rfam:Schistosoma rodhaini strain Burundi genome assembly, scaffold: SROB_scaffold0004471
AUCCAGCUGACGAGUCCCAAAUAGAACGAAACACGCGUCAAACUGGAU